CAAACUGACUCUGGUCAAUGUAAGGUUAUCAUUUAUUUUCCCUCUUUAAUACCUUUUGUUUUGUGAUGUAAGCUAAACAAUGUAGAUGUGUGUAGUCCCCACCCAUAUUCAAAUAUUUAACCAAACAAAUAUGACCAAUUGACUAAAAGACGAUGAAUAAACGCAUAAAAUGAGGAAGCAACAGAGUUACAGUCAACAACCACAAUACAGAAAGUGAAAGUGACAUUCCGUUCUGGAGAUGGAUGCAAGCAUGACUUCUCAGUAUGUUUUUCACCUAAUACUUGCUAGACUGAUGGAAUAAACCAGUAGAAGAAAGUUUGAUCUACAGCACACGACAGAUUCAGAGAAUGUGAGGACAUUAAUCCUGGAAGCUGAUGAAGUAAUCCUGCUGUACACUGAAUUCUGAGUAUCUUUUAACAUUCAGUACUACUCAGUAUUGUGUGUAAGAGAUGUGUUGAAAUAAGGAUUUGGCAAAAACAGUUGGACACACAAGAGCACUAGUUUGAAUAUGGACCAAAAUAAAUUGAACAAAUCAGGAAGUGAGAUUAUCAGUUUAAAUGUUUUGACUCACAAGUCACUUUGACUUGGUGCAGCUUUUACAAAACGAUUAUCUUUAUAUUGAAUACUGUCAUGAUCCAAAGCAAACCUUAAAGACACAGUUCACCCCAGAAUCAAUGAUGUAAAAACACUAAACAUUUUUCUAGUUAUGAAUCUAGAUUGUUUUGCCAUGUGUUGCUAGUGUUGGUUACAUGCGCUGAAGUGACGUUUGCCUUCUCUCCAGCGUAAUGGAACCUGAUGGCGCUCGGCUUGUGGUGCUAAAAUAGCCACAAAAAACAUCCAAAAAAAAACUCAGCAGCAUUGUCUAUUUCCAGAGAUAAGAAGGUGUUGUGAACAGUCCCUUUCAUGAGUUUUCAUCCCCAAUGCUCCACACAAUGGCUUCAAUGUGAUCCUCUACAUACCGCCACAAUAUGUUUCAUUCAUAUUUUCACUUCAUCAGUAAUCUCCAGCACAUCUGGAUUCAUUUGAGUUGGAUAACUUUGGGGUGCAAUGUUGGGCAUAAUGAAGAAAUGGCAGAGUCAAAGAAAUUAAAAUAAACAACCUAACAGGUCUUACUCUUUAUUUUGUGCAAAUAAAAACUGAAUAUUAAAAAAAAGAAAUCAGUACUAUUAUUUUUAAUUUAAGUGUUUUAUUUUUGUGUGUUUUACUUGUUUUUUUUCUAUCAAUGUAAACCACUUUACUCCGGAUUAGCGUAACUAUCUAAAAAGGAAGAGGAAGAGAGAUGUUGCAGUUGCAAUUGUAUGUUUAGGGAAGUCAGGAAGUACCAAAUUAGUCCGCGCAGCAGCCCGUGAUGCUGUUUGUCCGUCUGGGCUCACUAACCGACAUGGAUGUUCC